rnacentral:piRNA from 1 species
UGGCAGCUGCACACAUGUGCACAUACCC